ACUCAUGGCAGUUGUAUGCGGGAGGCCUUCGGGUCUGCCGGUACCUCGUUCCGGUUCGCCAACCUGCGUACAACUGCCACCUUU
rnacentral:antisense_RNA from 2 species